CCCUUAGACGUUCUGGGCCGCACGCGCGCUACACUGACCAGUGCAACAAGCAUCCGUCCUUGGCCGACAGGCCCGGGCAAUCUUUGAACGCUGGUCGUGAUGGGGAUAGACUUUUGCAAUUUUUGGUCUUCAACGAGGAAUUCCUAGUAAACGCAAGUCAUCAACUUGCAUUGAUUACGUCCCUGCCCUUUGUACACACCGCCCGUCGCACCUACCGAUUGAAUGGUCCGGUGAAAUCUCGGGACGGCGGCUUGGUCGCUUGCGUCCGACUGCUGAAACUUGAUUAAACCAUAUCAUUUAGAGGAAGGUGAANUCGUAGCA
rnacentral:rRNA from 1 species